rnacentral:pre_miRNA from 1 species
AGGCUGGGGCAGGCGCGUCAAUACGCUGCCACUGGGUCCUGUAUUGCACUUGUCCCGGCCUGU